AGGACGAACGCUGGCGGCGUGCUUAAUACAUGCAAGUCAAGCGAGAGUAGCAAUACUCGAGCGGCGGACGGGUGAGUAACGCGUGGGCAAUCUGCCCUCUAGCCUGGGAUAACAGGUUCGAAGGACUGCUAACACCGGAUAUGCUCACACCCUGGCAUCAGGGAGUGAGAAAAGUUUACACUAGAGGAUGAGCCCGCGUCCCAUUAGCUAGUUGGUGAGGUAACGGCCCACCAAGGCGACGAUGGGUA
rnacentral:rRNA from 1 species